rnacentral:lncRNA from 1 species
UAAGGAAAUUACAUACUCGAGUCACUCAAACACUCUCUCGGUGUUUCUCAAGCCCUAAUUACACCCAACAACGUACGCAGUGUUUAACCCUGAAAUUCCUCAAGAAAUAAUCUCUCAAUCUCACGAAAGAAUUACAUGCAAAUCUUACCACAAAAUUUAAUUGGCUUGAACACUAAAUCUUCUUGGAUGUAAUUCAUGAACAAAAAUGACAAAAAAAAAAAAAU